rnacentral:rRNA from 1 species
AACGUAGGUUCCGAGCGUUAUCCGGAUUUACUGGGCGUAAAGCGCGUUCAGGCGGUUUGGCAAGUCGGGCAUGAAAUCUCUCGGCUCAACCGGGAGAGGUUGUCCGAUACUUCCAGACUUGAGGGCAGUAGAGGGUGGUGGAAUUCCGGGUGUAGUGGUGAAAUGCGUAGAGAUCCGGAGGAACCCCAGAGGCGAAGGCGGCAUCCUGGCCCACGACUGACACUCAGACACGACAGCAUGGGGAGCGAACGGG